rnacentral:rRNA from 1 species
CUACGGGCUGCUCCAGUAGGGAAUAUUGGACAAUGGGCGAAAGCCUGAUCCAGCAACGCCGCGUGCGCGAUGACGGCCUUCGGGUUGUAAAGCGCUUUUAGAGGAGAUGAGAAAGGACAGUAUCCUCUGAAUAAGCCUCGGCGAACUACGUGCCAGCAGCCGCGGUAAAACGUAGGAGGCUAGCGUUAUCCGGAUUUAUUGGGCGUAAAGCGCGUGCAGGCGGUCUAGCAAGUUGGAUGUGAAAGCUCCUGGCUUAACUGGGAGAGGUCGUUCAAUACUGCUAGACUAGAGAAUGGGAGAGGGAGGUGGAAUUCCGGGUGUAGUGGUGAAAUGCGUAGAUAUCCGGAGGAACACCAGUGGCGAAAGCGGCCUCCUGGACCACUUCUGACGCUAAGACGCGAAAGCUAGGGUAGCAAACGGGAUUAGAUACCCCAGUAGUC